GAUGAAGAACGCAGCGAAAUGCGAUAAGUAAUGUGAAUUGCAGAAUUCAGUGAAUCAUCGAAUCUUUGAACGCACAUUGCGCCCGCCAGCAUUCUGGCGGGCAUGUCUGUUCGAGCGUCAUUUCAACCCUCGAGCCCCCCCGGGGGCCUCGGUGUUGGGGGACGGCACACCAGCCGCCCCCGAAAUGCAGUGGCGACCCCGCCGCAGCCUCCCCUGCGUAGUAGCACACACCUCGCACCGGAGCGCGGAGGCGGUCACGCCGUAAAACGCCCAACUUUCUUAGAGUUGACCUCGGAUCAGGUAGGAAUACCCGCUGAACUUAAGCAUAUCAAUAAGCGGAGGA
rnacentral:misc_RNA from 1 species